rnacentral:rRNA from 1 species
UACGUAGGGGGCAAGCGUUGUCCGGAUUUAUUGGGCGUAAAGAGCGUGUAGGCGGCCAGACAGGUCCGUUGUGAAAACUCGAGGCUCAACCUCGAGACGCCGAUGGAAACCGUUUGGCUAGAGUCCGGAAGAGGAGAGUGGAAUUCCUGGUGUAGCGGUGAAAUGCGCAGAUAUCAGGAAGAACACCCGUGGCUAAGGCGGUUCUCUAGUACGGUACUGACGCUGAGACGCGAAAGCGUGGGGAGCGAACAGG